rfam:Triticum aestivum genome assembly, contig: Triticum_aestivum_CS42_TGACv1_scaffold_569119_7AS
AGGAUACUCCCUCCAUUCCAAAAUUCUUGUGUUAGAUUUGUGUAGAUACGGAUGUAUCUAAUAUUAAAACGUGACUUGAUACAUCCGUAUUUAGAAAAAUCUAAAAUAAGAAUUUUGGGACGGAGGGUAGUAUCUA